AUUGAACGCUGGCGGAAUGCUUUACACAUGCAAGUCGAGCGGCAGCACGGGGGCAACCCUGGUGGCGAGCGGCGAACGGGUGAGUAGUACAUCGGAACAUGCCCAGUCGUGGGGGAUAACACUUCGAAAGAAGUGCUAAUACCGCAUACGUCCUGAGGGGGAAAGCGGGGGAUCGCAAGACCUCGCGCGAUUGGAGUGGCCGAUGUCAGAUUAGCUAGUUGGUGGGGUAAAGGCCUACCAAGGCAACGAUCUGUAGCUGGUCUGAGAGGAUGAUCAGCCACACUGGGACUGAGACACGGCCCAGACUCCUACGGGAGGCAGCAGUGGGGAAUUUUGGACAAUGGGGGCAACCCUGAUCCAGCCAUUCCGCGUGAGUGAAGAAGGCCUUCGGGUUGUAAAGCUCUUUCGGCAGGAACGAAACGGUGAGCUCUAACAUAGCUUGCUAAUGACGGUACCUGAAGAAGAAGCACCGGCUAACUACGUG
rnacentral:rRNA from 1 species